rnacentral:rRNA from 1 species
GAGCGAACGCUGGCGGCAGGCUUAACACAUGCAAGUCGAGCGGGCGUAGCAAUACGUCAGCGGCAGACGGGUGAGUAACGCGUGGGAACGUACCUUUUGGUUCGGAACAACACAGGGAAACUUGUGCUAAUACCGGAUAAGCCCUUACGGGGAAAGAUUUAUCGCCGAAAGAUCGGCCCGCGUCUGAUUAGCUAGUUGGUGAGGUAACGGCUCACCAAGGCGACGAUCAGUAGCUGGUCUGAGAGGAUGAUCAGCCACAUUGGGACUGAGACACGGCCCAAACUCCUACGGGAGGCAGCAGUGGGGAAUAUUGGACAAUGGGCGCAAGCCUGAUCCAGCCAUGCCNNNUGAGUGAUGAAGGCCCUAGGGUUGUAAAGCUCUUUUGUGCCGGAAGUAAUGACGGUA